rnacentral:rRNA from 1 species
AACGAACGCUGGCGGCAUGCCUAACACAUGCAAGUCGAACGAAGGCUUCGGCCUUAGUGGCGCACGGGUGAGUAACGCGUGGGAAACUGCCUAUUGGUGGGGAAUAACGACGGGAAACUGUCGCUAAUACCGCAUAAGCCCUUCGGGGGAAAGAUUUAUCGCCGAUAGAUGUGCCCGCGUCCGAUUAGCUAGUUGGUGAGGUAAUGGCUCACCAAGGCGACGAUCGGUAGCUGGUCUGAGAGGAUGAUCAGCCACACUGGGACUGAGACACGGCCCAGACUCCUACGGGAGGCAGCAGUGGGGAAUAUUGGACAAUGGGCGAAAGCCUGAUCCAGCAAUGCCGCGUGAGUGAUGAAGGCCUUAGGGUUGUAAAGCUCUUUCGGGUGGGACGAUGAUGACGGUACCACCAGAGGAAGCCCCGGCUAACUUCGUGCCAGCAGCCGCAGUAA